UUUGUGAACUUGUUGGUUUAUUCAUCUUAAAUGAACUAUCGAUAACGUUUGGGAAAGAUCGUGUCGGCCUGUAUCGCGACGAUGGACUGAUAUUGCUGAAAGGAACUCGUGCUCGUCUAGCUGACCAGACAAGAAAGAAAUUGCACCAUUUAUUUGAUCAAUUUGAUUUAAAGAUCACAGCAGAGGUCAGUCAUCAAACUGUUAAUUUCCUAGACAUUACGCUCAACUUAGCUGACGGUAGUUACAAACCCUAUAGGAAACCGAACAACCAACCACUCUAUAUCAACAGCCACUCUAACCAC